rnacentral:piRNA from 1 species
UAUCAGUUGUUGAAAUGACAU